GUGAGGAAUAUUCCGCAAUGGACGAAAGUCUGACGGAGCGACGCCGUGUGGGUGAUGAAGUCUUUCGGGAUGUAAAGCCCUGUCAGAGGGGACGAUAUUGACGGUACCCUCAGAGGAAGGCCCGGCUAACUACGUGCCAGCAGCCGCGGUAAUACGUAGGGGCCAAGCGUUGUCCGGAAUUACUGGGCGUAAAGCGCGCGUAGGCGGUGACUUAAGUCGAAUGUUAAAGGUAUGAGCUCAACUCAUACAGCGCAUUCGAAACUGGGUCGCUAGAGAGAGUCAGAGGGAAGUGGAACUUCCGGUGUAGCGGUGAAAUGCGUAGAUAUCGGAAGGAACACCAGUGGCGAAGGCGGCUUCCUGGGACUUUUCUGACGCUGAGGUGCGAAAGCUAGGGGAGCAAACGGGAUUAGAAACCCCAGUAGUCC
rnacentral:rRNA from 1 species